GACGAACGCUGGCGGCGUGCUUAACACAUGCAAGUCGAACGGAAAGGCCCUGCUUUUGUGGGGUGCUCGAGUGGCGAACGGGUGAGUAACACGUGAGUAACCUGCCCUUGACUUUGGGAUAACUUCAGGAAACUGGGGCUAAUACCGGAUAGGAGCUCCUGCUGCAUGGUGGGGGUUGGAAAGUUUCGGCGGUUGGGGAUGGACUCGCGGCUUAUCAGCUUGUUGGUGGGGUAGUGGCUUACCAAGGCUUUGACGGGUAGCCGGCCUGGGAGGGUGACCGGCCACAUUGGGCCUGCGAUACGGCCCAGACUCCUACGGGAGGCAGCAGGGGGGAAUAUUGCACAAUGGGCGGAAGCCUGAUGCAGCAACGCCGCGUGCGGGAUGACGGCCUUCGGGUUGUAAACCGCUUUCGCCUGUGACGAAGCGUGAGUGACGGUAAUGGGUAAAGAAGCACCGGCUAACUACGUG
rnacentral:rRNA from 1 species